rnacentral:rRNA from 1 species
AAUAGAUACCCCGGUAGUCCACGCCGUAAACGAUGAGUGCUAAGUGUUAGAGGGUUUCCGCCCUUUAGUGCUGAAGUUAACGCAUUAAGCACUCCGCCUGGGGAGUACGGCCGCAAGGCUGAAACUCAAAGGAAUUGACGGGGGCCCGCACAAGCGGUGGAGCAUGUGGUUUAAUUCGAAGCAACGCGAAGAACCUUACCAGGUCUUGACAUCCUCUGACAACCCUAGAGAUAGGGCUUCUCCUUCGGGAGCAGAGUGACAGGUGGUGCAUGGUUGUCGUCAGCUCGUGUCGUGAGAUGUUGGGUUAAGUCCCGCAACGAGCGCAACCCUUGAUCUUAGUUGCCAUCAUUAAGUUGGGCACUCUAAGGUGACUGCUGGUGACAAACCGGAGGAAGGUGGGGAUGACGUCAAAUCAUCAUGCCCCUUAUGACCUGGGCUACACACGUGCUACAAUGGACGGUACGAAGAGCUGCAAGACCGCGAGGUGGAGCUAAUCUCAUAAAAACCCGUUCUCAGUUCGGA